rnacentral:rRNA from 1 species
UUCCGUAGGUGAACCUGAACCUGCGGAGGGAUCAUUACCGAGUUUACAACUCCCAAACCCCUGUGAACAUACCACUUGUUGCCUCGGCGGAUCAGCCCGCUCCCGGUAAAACGGGACGGCCCGCCAGAGGACCCCUAAACUCUGUUUCUAUAUGUAACUUCUGAGUAAAACCAUAAAUAAAUCAAAACUUUCAACAACGGAUCUCUUGGUUCUGGCAUCGAUGAAGAACGCAGCAAAAUGCGAUAAGUAAUGUGAAUUGCAGAAUUCAGUGAAUCAUCGAAUCUUUGAACGCACAUUGCGCCCGCCAGUAUUCUGGCGGGCAUGCCUGUUCGAGCGUCAUUUCAACCCUCAAGCACAGCUUGGUGUUGGGACUCGCGUUAAUUCGCGUUCCUCAAAUUGAUUGGCGGUCACGUCGAGCUUCCAUAGCGUAGUAGUAAAACCCUCGUUACUGGUAAUCGUCGCGGCCACGCCGUUAAACCCCAACU